rnacentral:rRNA from 1 species
CCAAAGAGCAUAACUGCUCGCUUUGGGAUGAGCCUGCGUCCUAUCAGCUUGUUGGUGAGGUAACGGCUCACCAAGGCGAUGACGGGUAGGGGGUGUGAGAGCACGGUCCCCCACAAGAGCACUGAGACACGGGCUCUACGACUACGGUCGGCAGCAACUAGGAAUCUUGCGCAAUGGGCGAAAGCCUGACGCAGCGACGCCGCGUGGAGGAUGAAGGCCUUCGGGUUGUAAACUUCUUUUAAUGGGGAGAAAGAUCUGAUAGUACCCAUAGAAUAAGCACCUGCAAACUACGUGCCAGCAGCCGCGGUAAAACGUAGGGUGCAAGCGUUAUCCGGAAUUACUGGGUGUAAAGAGUCUCGUAGGCGGUUUUGUAAGUUACUUGUCAAAGACCUCUGCUUAACGGAGGAAAGGCAAGUAAUACUGCAAAACUAGUGUCGGGUCGGGGGUGUUGGAAUUCCCGGUGGAGGGGUGAAAUCCGUUGAGAUCGGGAGGAACACCGAGGGCGAAGGCAAAUACCUAGACCUUGACAGACGCUGAUGAACGAAAGCUAGGGUAGCAAACCGGAUUAGAGACCCGGGUAGUCCUAGCCGUAAACGAUGCCUAC